UACGUAGGGGGCGAGCGUUGUCCGGAUUCAUUGGGCGUAAAGAGCUCGUAGGCGGCUUGUCAAGUCGGGUGUGAAACCUCCAGGCUCAACCUGGAGACGCCACUCGAGACUGUCAUGGCUAGAGUCCGGUAGGGGAUCACGGAAUUCCUGGUGUAGCGGUGAAAUGCGCAGAUAUCAGGAGGAACACCGGUGGCGAAGGCGGAUCUCUGGGCCUUACCUGACGCUCAGGUGCGAAAGCUAGGGGAGCGAACAGG
rnacentral:rRNA from 1 species